rnacentral:tRNA from 1 species
GCCUGGCUGGCUCAGACAAUAGAGCAUGUGACUUUUAAUCUCAGGGUCGUGAGUUUAAGUUUUAUGUUGGGUG